CGGCCCUGGGAAGUUCCUCAUUUCCUGCUGCUCCUGUGUCUCACUGAGAAUCACCUAUGCAGACAUACAGAAGCUUUAAUGGAAACAUUACUGCUGAUGCUGUAUUGUAUGGAAACAGUUCUCACAGUGCGUCUUAUUGGAACUCAAAACCAAUGUGCAGCAAAGACCUCAAUAAGUAUUCUGAAGACAGCUGGCGCUGAAGCGGCUCCUCCAUCCAUGCUGGCUGAAAGACUGUGGAUUUCCAGGUGGCUGACAUUCUCCUGUGUUGACAAGCCUGUAGCGACCCGAAUCAGCUGACCCGCAGGCCCAAAACUGACAACCGCAUGAGGGAUGGAGUACUUCAGAGGAGCCGGCACAGGUGCACUGUCUGAGGAGAUACAAAGCUUACAUGGAGGGGCGUAAACAUCAAGGGACGUGGACGUGGGAGGAACUGCGUGCUC